CUACGGAGGGUGCAAGCGUUGUCCGGAUUUAUUGGGUUUAAAGGGUGCGUAGGUGGCGUGUUAAGUCAGUGGUGAAAGCCUGCAGCUCAACUGUAGAGGUGCCAUUGAUACUGACAUGCUUGAGUAUGGACGAGGUAGGCGGAAUUUGUGGUGUAGCGGUGAAAUGCAUAGAUAACACAAAGAACACCGAUAGCGAAGGCAGCUUACUGGACCAUAACUGACACUGAGGCACGAAAGUGUGGGUAGCGAACAGGAUUAGAAACCCUAGUAGUCC
rnacentral:rRNA from 1 species